GUAAUGAAUGCUCGGGAAGUUAUGGAGAGAAAGGAUACGGUAAAAAAGAAAUAAACAGGGAAACGGGAGAAACACUGUGUUGCUAUGAGCGGAGAGGUUUUACAAACAAAUUGGGCUCGUCGGAAAACACAAGUUUGAACGUCCCAGUCCCAUUUUUGCAAUAAAUGCGGAAUUGCCUCAGCGGCUGCAGGCCUGAGUGAGCGCCGCCAUCUUUAUUCGGGACAACGAUUCACUGGACACGUGCGGAGCCGCCAUCUUUGUAGGGGGCACGGUGCAGCCAGGCGCAUGUGCAGCCUCUCUCUGGUACAGAGUCAUUGUGACGACAGCAGCCAAUCCUGCUCUGAUUCACCUCUGGGCUCCCUCAGGACCACUUUGUCAAUGUCUAGCUUCAUCAGUCUCCAACCAUGGGGAUCCCAGUGAUUAAUGCCAAAGCCCUGUUGCCUGUGGAGAGAGUGAUGCUUGACUUUAUUGUACAGCUGCAGUUUGUGUGGUGAAGGUGCUCCCACAAUGUGGUUGGAUUCCACCAUCUGACAAGCUGGGAUUCAAAUAGUGACUUCAGUUGUACAUUUUAAUAUUCUGGAUAAAAGUUAAAUACAUUAGGAUGCUACAGGUGGACAUUCAGAUGGUAAUCUCAGUCAUUAUAACACCAAACUCUGAUUGAAUUAGUCAGUUCAUCAGGACUUGGAUAUUCGCAUUGUGUGGUGCUAGAUGGUGAAGGUUUGCAGACUGAAAUCUCAAAAUCAUGUGCAGAUUGUGAUUAUGUUAACCAGCAUUUGAAGAACCAAAGAUAGAGAAUCACUCGGCCAAAAUCCUGCAACACUCCCUCACAGCAUUGUUGGUCUAUCUCCACCAAAUGGACUGUGAAUGGUUCAAGACAGCAGCUCACUCCCAUCUUCUCCAGGGUAACUAGAGAUGGGGAAUAAAUGCUGGCUGAGCCAGUGAUGCCCAUAUCCUGGAAAUGGUUUCUAUCUCUAGUUGCUGAACCCCAGUUGAUGUUACUGCAGGAUGGUGAGGGACGCUGAGUGCAUCCUCCAGGAGGCAGCACCAUCACAUUACCCCUGCCUACACCCACACAGUAACACCGCCACGUCACUGGAACAAAAGGUAGUGAAGCCAAAGGAGGACUUAGAUAUAGUUCUUCGAGGUAAAGUCAUGAAAGGGGAUUGGAGCACAGCAGGAACAGGAGACUGAGCUGGAUGGUCAGCUGUUUCCCAUUGAAUGGUGGAGCAGGAUUGAAAGGCUGAAUGGUCUCCUCCUGCUGCUAUCUCCCAGGUAUGUAUAUAGCCAUGGAGCCCGGGUAGGAAGGAGUGGGCAGGGCAGGGAUUCUCCAGGAGAUUGCACUUCCACAACAGGUUUCAGUGAGGGAAGGUUUGAUGGAUUUUAUUUAACAUUUAUCUUUAACACAAAGUUUGUAAAUUUUGGUUUUAAAAUGUUGUAAAAGUUUUUUGCAAAGCAAAUAAAAUUAAAGAAAAUAAAUUAAA